UUCUAUUUACUAUGAUUUAAUAUCUCCAAGGAAAAGGUAAGAGUCUCCAUAGAACAGUUAAAUUCUACCAGCUACAAGUACUGCGAACUGUUCAAUGGCUGAGAAUGCUUUAAUUUAUUUAAUUUUUAUCUACUUAUGAAAAUGUUAUUAGUAUGCCUGUUUCCUGGAUAAAGAGAUUUAACCAAAGUGCUACUGCACACAAGCAUUGCAGGAUGGAACAGAGCCGAUUUUUGUGGUCCUCCUGCCUUGACAGAAGGAUCAUGGUCAAGCUGUGAUUGUCAGGUCUGGAUCCCAAGCCGUGGGAAUAGAGCAUCCUUCCACAAAGAAAGGAAUUGCAA